rnacentral:tRNA from 1 species
GGGGGCGUGGCCCAGCAAUCCCGGCUUUGGGGCUGAUGACCCGGAGACCCCCGGUUCAAAUCCGGGCGCCCCCA